rfam:Oryza glumipatula chromosome 8, whole genome shotgun sequence.
AAAAAGACAAACCCUGGGUUUCCGUGUCUAAUUUUAACUGUCCGUCUUAUAUAAAAAAAUUUUAUAAUUCAUAUUUUCAUUGUCGUUAGAUGAUAAAAUAUGAUUAGUAUUUUAUGUGUGACUUGUCUUUUAAUAUUUUUUAUAUUUUUUUUAAAUAAGACGGACGGUAAAACUCUGGACACGGAAACCAGGGUUUGUCUUUUU